CAAGAUAUCCUCCUGUCUCAGCCUCCCAAGUAUUUGGGACUACAGACGCAUGACACUGUACCUGGCUAAUUAAUUUUUUUUUUUUUUUUUUUUUUUUUUUUUUUUAGAGAUGGGGUUCUCACUUGGUUGCCCAGGCUGGUCUCAAACUCCUAGGCUCAAGUGAAUCUCUCACCUUGGCUUCUCAAAGUGCUGGGUUUAUAGGUGUAAGCCUAUAGCAUUUCUUAAAUAUAAUUUUCUCUGGAAUUUUCUUCUAAGUCACUGACACCCACAAGCAUGCCUGACACUUGACUAGAGUAAUAAUGAUAGUCAUCCCAAUUUCAGAUAUCUUAAAAUUUGAAAUAAGAAAGCACAAUACUUGGAAUCCAUUGAAUACAUUUAAAUGAAUGAGGUAAUAGUUAUAUCAAAAAUGUUAAUACUUCUAACAUGCUAAAAAUUAGAUCCUUUGCAACCAUGAAAGUUAUGAUGAAAAUGUUAAUUUUCAACCAAAUACAUUGGUGAAGGGGUACAUCAUUUUUUUCAGAAUUCCUUUAUCAGAUAAAUUAAGAACAGUUUCAUGAAGAAGGUGAACCAUGAAGUGAUAAAAGACUGAAAAUUGAGUUAAUGGUAUUUUAUUUAAAUACUAUUUACAUAUUUUGGUUAUUUUUUGGCUGGAGAUUAUAGCUUAUAAUGAAUGAUCAGUUUGUAGGUUACAUGAAAUGAAUCCAGACAAAUUCAGAUAAAGGAAAUGUAUAUAUUCAACCAAAUAUUUCCAUUCCUUUCAGCAUUCUCUCAAACAUCUUAUUUUCUAUGGGCUUUUUUCAACUUUCAUUUGUGUUUCCAUAGCUAUUCUGACACCAGCUUUUACCUUGCCAAUUUACAUGGGUCACUCUGUCACCCAGUCCGGAGUGUGGUGCGCAAUCUCUGGCCACUGCAGCCUCAGCCUUCCUAGCUCAAGCAAUCCUCCUGCCUCAGCCUCACAAGUAGCUGGGAUUACAGGUAUGUGCCACUACACCCUGCUGAUUUUUGUAAUUUUUUUUGUAGAGAUGGGGUUUCACCAAGUUGCCCAGGCUGGUCUUGAACUUCUGGACUCAAGCAAUUCUCCUGCGUUGGGCCUCCCAAAGUGCUGGGAUUAUAGGCACGAGCCACCACAUCCAGCCCCUUGCCAGUUUUGAGUAUCUUCAACAAUUCUUCUAUGUUGUCCUAACUUUUCUUAAGAUUUAAUCAUCCAGUUCAAGCCAGCAAUUGGGCAACUACUUUAAAACUCAUUUGCAAAGUGACAAAUGCAGCAUCCUAGCUACAGAUAAUAAAUACUUUGAACUACCAACUCAGAUUGCAAAGAUUGCUAAGUGUACAUUUGAAGAUAUUUUCUGGUGAUUCUGACAGACUGAGAUUUUAAUAUCCUUGGGGUAUAAUCAUCAGGGACUAAUAUAGAUGAGAAGAUGCACAAAGAUCUUCAUUAAAGGGAAUUUAAGUUGUGGUAGCAGAACAUUGGA
rnacentral:lncRNA from 10 species